CUGGAACAUGGGCAAAGGGUCACUUAAUUGCUCCAAGCUCAAGCAAAUUUCGGGUUCAACACAGGUUCCAUAUCUGGUUGAUCCCAACACCGGCAUACAAAUGGCAGAGUCUCUUGACAUAAUCCGCUAUCUCUUCGCUAACUAUAAUUCGAAGUGAUGUUGAUGGAGAGUUUCCUUGGA